rnacentral:rRNA from 1 species
AUUGAACGCUGGCGGCAUGCCUUACACAUGCAAGUCGAACGGCAGCAUGGAGAGCUUGCUCUCUGAUGGCGAGUGGCGAGCGGGUGAGUAAUGCAUCGGAACGUACCGUGUAAUGGGGGAUAACGUAGCGAAAGUUACGCUAAUACUGCAUACGACCUGAGGAUGAAAGCAGGGGAUCGCAAGACCUUGCGUUAUACGAGCGGCCGAUGUCAGAUUAGCUAGUUGGUGAGGUAAAGGCUCACCAAGGCGACGAUCUGUAGCGGGUCUGAGAGGAUGAUCCGCCACACUGGGACUGAGACACGGCCCAGACUCCUACGGGAGGCAGCAGUGGGGAAUUUUGGACAAUGGGGGCAACCCUGAUCCAGCCAUGCCGCGUGAGUGAAGAAGGCCUUCGGGUUGUAAAGCUCUUUCGGCCGGGAAGAAAUCGCACAGGCUAAUACUCUGUGUGGAUGACGGUACCGGCAUAAGAAGCACCGGCUAACUACGUGCCAGCCGCCGCAGUAA